ensembl:lincRNA
CUCAGGGCUGACAGUCAUUUCUUCCCCGGGAGCAAGAGGAUUCGUCCCUUGUGAGAAGUGGAUGUUUGGGAUGGAGAAAGAUCAGGAGAAAAUGUCAGGUGGCCUAUGUUCUAGGUGGACCAGCUCUGUUGUGACCUUGGGUAAGACACUGUCCACUCCCUAAGCUGUUUCUCCAUUCACAAGCUGCAUGGCCGAAGGUCCUCAAGAGACUAGGUUUCUCAGCCGGGUGUGGUGGCGCACACCUGUAAUCCCAGCCCUCGGGAGGCUGAGGCAGGAGGAUCGUUGCAAGUUCGAGACCAGCCUGGGCUACAAAGUGAGCUCACGGCCAGCCUGAACUGCAUAGCGAGACCCUGUCUCAAAAAAAAAGAAAAAAAGAGACUAGAUUUCUGGAUAGGAGCACAGGAGGAUCUCUGGGGCCCUGGAAGGGCUCCCCCUUUUCUUGGGGUGCUCUUCAGGGACCCAACUCUUGAGACAGAUGGGAAGGUGUGCAGGGAGCUCUCACUGCUUGUCACUCCUGCAGAACCAGGGUUGGGGCUCAGCUUGUGGGUUCCAAUCUGAUCUGUUUACUCAUCUGGAAAGUGGGGAUGAAGACGAUCCUUACCUUCAUUUUCCAUCCUUCUGUGGAUCCAGGAAGCAAGGGACCUGCUGGAGGUCAUGGUUCCCACCUUGCCCUUGUCCUACCAUCCCUGUCCCCUCCCACAGCUGCGGCUUCCCCUGUGGGCAUCCUGGCACCCUGCCCUGUCGCAGCUGACUGGCUCACACUGUUCAUCCCUCUGCCCGAUACGCUGUUUCUUUUCUCUUGCACACCUGGCAAACCCACCCAAUGGGCUGGUGCCCGUGGGCCAGGUCUGGUGACCUCACUUAUAAGGAUGGUGACCCUGAGCAAGCGGCCUACCCUCUCUGAGCCCACCCCCUCUUUGAUGUCAUGGGGACAACAGUCCCUACAACGUGCGGAAAUGCCCAGGACACCUGGCACCUGACCCAUUGUGAGCAGGCAUGAAACAUCAGUGUCCUUCGAACCAUCUCAAAUGUGGCCUUGUUAGCAGGCACAGCCAGGUCCCUAUGACACUUGCAACCACCAGCCAUCAGGUUAGCACCUCACAUGACCUCAGACUCCUGUGUUCUGAUCCUCUUAACAUCUGCUCUGUCUGGGAUAGGACAGCAGCUUCUGGGUGCCAUGACAACCCCACCACUACCACUAUCUCUUUGGCCAGCACUAUACAUGGUUCUGCUUCGUUGAGCAUUAACUACGUGCUGGGCACUGAGGUGGCGUUCCUAGGCUCCUCUCACUCAUGCCCCAAAGUCACCCUGUGGGCUGGGUGUUUGGCCCUUGUGCUCCUCUCCCGGAUAAGCAAAUGGGCGGGGGCGGGGGAGGUGGCAGAAUCUGUGGUGGUGGAAUCAGGUCCCACAUCCUUUCCAGAGAGGUGAGGGUGCGUGGUCAGAGCCCUGGACAGUGACAGCUGGUGUCCCCUCCCAGAAUCUGCCUUUGACCAUUCCCUCCUUGUAGAACAUCUCUUCCCUUGAGAACUCGUUUCCCUAGAACCCCUCUAACACUUCUCAGUCUCCUUCUAAGUUCUCUCCAGCCCUUAGAAAGCCAUGACCCCAGGUUCUGUGCCCCAACCUGCAUUUCCUCUUCUCUGCCUGGAUGGCUUUCUCAGCCCUCUCGUUUCUCUUCAUGGAGGUUGGCAUGAGCUCCACCACAGGGAAGGGCAAGUAGUCCAAUCACAAUGCCUCAUUUUCCUUAACACGAUGAUUGGUCUGAGCCUGGGCCUGUGUCACAAGCUGAGCCAAUCAGACUCUUCCUUAGGACUUACGCGAACUAGUUGAGAAAACUGACUCUUUCCCAAGUCUGAGCUGGGAAUGUGGAGGUGUGGGCAUCUUUGCUGAGACAGGAGAGGGCACAUGGGAGACAAGGCCCAUUAUUAUUAUUUGCCUCCCCUUCUGUUGUCUUCCUCUCCUUCUUCUCUUCCUCCGUCCGCACCUCCUCCUCCUUCCUCUACUUCUCAUACUAGGGGCUGAACCCAAGGUGUUGCACACUAGGCAGAUGCUCUGCCACCGAACUACACCCCCAGCUGCACAGCCCACCCUUCACGCCAGGGACAAUCAGAACGGACUGAUGGGUGGAGGAGAUAACCUAAUGACAUUGCUGGAAACUGUGGAUCUAGGCAUGCCUGAGGUUUGACUCACCCUUGAAACUCUAAGAUAAAGAUGCCACCAAAUUGUUCACCUUGUUUUCCUUCAUCCAGUUUUUUUUUGUUUUUUUUUUUGUACCGGGCAAUCGAACUCAGGACCUUGCCCUUGCCAGGCAGGUGUUUGUGCCACUGAGCUAUCUUCCCGGUCCCGUUCAUCCAGUUUGAAAUGAAUUUCUGUCCCUUAGAUAACUGAAAGACUCCUGCGAGAGCCUAACAUUCUCUCUUUCUCCCUCUCUCCUCUCCUGGAGGAUCUCGGGUGUUAUCUACUCCCUCAAUGAGGUGUCUAAUGCUGACAGCUUUUAAAGAAAUGGGUCCUUCUCUCUGCCUCCUUCCUGGGGUCCCCAUUACAGAUGAUCCUGUCACCAUCUCCCUCAGGCCCCAGAGAGAGAAAAUCCAGUCACCUUUCUUUCUCUUCUCCCCCUAACACUGUUUUCCUGUAAGUAGCGCUGCUCUGUUCCAGAAGGUUCUCGCCCCGUUGGUCCCCUUCUGCCGUCCAUCACCAUUGCCUUGAUUCGGGUCUCCUUUCAUUGACUGCAGCACCGUCUCUGUCCUCCCCUUCCUCCUCUUCCCCUUUCCCUGGCCCCGUGCAUCACUGAGGCCGUCUCUCCGACCCCAUCUGCCAGACCCCUGCUGCCAGCCCUGCCCGCUGCCCAUCAACCCAGGGCCGCCUGCGCUUGCUUCCCCCAGGUGGCCCUGGGCCUUCCCGAUGCCGCUGUGUCCGGAACCGUUUCCUCUCCCCACCUUGUGUCUCAGUCACACUUGGUGCCCUUCCCCUGAACACACCAGCCACCUUCUUGUCCCUGGUCUUUCCCGCUGAGAUCUGUCCUUGCUCGUCCCGGCCUCGUCCCUCUCCCUCCUGGAACCACCUACAUGCUCCCGGAGCUCCACCCCAGCCGUCUCCUCCAGGGGUGCUCCUCCCCAGGGCCUCGCCCCACGCCAUCCCAGUCUCUUUUUCCGUCCUUUGUACUCUCAAGACCCGAGGGACCACGGCCUCUGAGGGUGCAACCCUGCCUGAUCUCCUGCCCCCUCACAGGCCAGUGCUGCCCCCAGGAGUGACCUCCAUGAGUGACUGUGAGUGCCAAGUGGCCUUUCUCAGAGGGAUCUGGGAAGCUCACCAGCUAAAUCCAGUUUGGGUUUCGACUAAUGCUUGGUCCCUUAGGACAAAAAAAAAAAAAAAAAAAAAAAAGGACCUGGAAAGCCGGGUAUGGUUGUGCAUGGCUGUAACCCCGGUGCUAUAGGAGGCUGAGGCAGGAAGAUCACAAGUUGGAACCCAGCCUGGGCAACAUAGUGACUUAGCAAGAGCCUGUUUCAAAAUAAAAUCUGUGUGUGGGGGGGUGCGGCUGGGGAUGUAGUUUAGUGUGAAGGCCUUUCAUUUAAUCCUCAGUAUCAAAAUACAUAAAUAAAUAGGCAUCUGGAAGAAAUCAGUACAGUUCCUUGCACAUGGACAGCAUUUUACAGUUUACAGAGUGGUUCUGGGUUUAUUUCCUCCUUUGGUCUUUACACCUCUGUGCACUGCCAACCCCAUUUCACAGAUGAAAAACGUGGCCCAGGGGCUGGGGAUUUAGCUCAGCGGCAAAAGCACCUGCCUGGCAAGCGCAAGGUCGUGAGUUUGGUUCCCCAUACAGGAGAAAAACCAAAAACAAAAAAGAAAAACGUGGCCCAGAGCUGGUUCCAGUACAAUCUCUCCCUUUCCCCGAGGUGAGCUGAGAACCAGGAAGGCCAUCGGAGGGAGAGGACAUGCUGCUGCUGGAUUGGGCCAGUGGCCACAGCAGCAAUAACCUCUGUGGCAGCCACUGCACUGCUUUUCCUGGCAACAGGGUCCAGCCAAUUCCUGAGUAUUAUCUACUUAUCAGGAGGGUUACUCUUCUCAUUUCCUAAACGAGGAAACCGAGGCACAGGGCAGGUAGGAGGCUUGUCUCUGCAGGCCAUGUUCCACCGCCGCCUCCGAUACUGGUACAGCACUUUACGGUCUACCUUUAGCGUCUUCCUGCCUCUCACCUGACCCCCCCAGGGGCGGGGCCAGUUCUCCUAUUUUAGAGGCGGCAACUGAGGCUCAGAAGCCAGGGGAAGAGGGAGGGCAUGGCACCAGCCCUUCUGAUCCGCGUCGUGGCUUAGAAUGUGGGGGGCAUGGGGCGCAGGGCCCGAGUGGGCGUCUGUGUCACCUCCCGCCUGCCGUGAGCUGCAGGGAUGACGAGGACCAGCUCCCCGCAGCCAGCGCCACAGGUGCUCGGGGACGGGUGUGCGGCGUGGGCGUGGGCGAGGGACCCGGGCGGGCGGGUCCCCACGCCCAUCCUCCCUCCCGCCGCCCUCUCUCCCGUGGCUGGUGGCAGGUGAGUGGGUGUCGAGGAACCGCCAGGCAGCGGAGAAAACAGGACGCCGCAGAGAUCAGAUUACUCACCUGCAGCUGCGAUACCCUGGGCUAAUAAAAGCCGAGUUUCCUGUUGUUUUUAUUACCACCCUGUGCCUCCCCAGCCCCAGUCCGCUCCCAGCUGCAGCCAGAACCUUAACCGAUCGCCAGAAACCAGUAGCGUCGGGGUCCAGACCACUCAGAGCACGAAAUGCCAUUUGCCCCCACGCGCUCAUGGCCGGGUUCAGGUCACCUGAAGGGUGGCCUGGGUCACCUGCACGGGAGCCACCCAGGUGCUGCUUAACAAUACUGAUCUCCAAGCGCAGGGUUACGAUUUCUGCCAUUUGCGCUCCCCCACCGCAGCCUCCAC